rnacentral:miRNA from 1 species
GGGGUGUGAUGAUUUGAAAC